GUGAAUCAUCAAAUCUUUGAACGCAUAUUGCACUCUCUGGUAUUACGGAGAGUAUGUCUAUUUGAGGGUUAUUAGAAAUAAUAUAAAUUCCAAGAUUUCCCGGAAUUUAAAAUGGGUAGUUCAUAUUUUGUGGUUGACUAAAAUCAAAGAUAAGCUCAUUUUCUUGGGUUGCGUGAUACUUUAAGUUAUCUCGUGACUUAACCAGGAAUCCUCGGGUGUGUUAUGUAUUUUGCAGGAGAUAAAAACUUCUACAGAUUUAUCUCAUGUGAUAUA
rnacentral:misc_RNA from 1 species